rnacentral:lncRNA from 1 species
CAUGAGCCCCCCCACACCGUCGGCCUCUUGGUGCCAUGUCUGCAUCAAAUAAUAUAUUAGAGAUAAUAUAAUAUAGAUAAAAAUUAUAUCAAUAUCAAGUAUUCUAUUUUACUUUAUUUAGUAUUAUUAUUUUUACUUUUUUUAUUAUUUUUAUUAAUAAAUUAUUAAUUUUUAAAAUAUAAUCUUAAAAAAAUAAUUCUUUUAUUUUUUCCCUUCCUUCUUCUUCCCCUGCACGCCACAACCACCCAACCCUUGGUUGCGCCACC